AACCAUCCAGUCACGUAACUACUAGUGCUAAAGCUCAGCACAAUGACACAGCCCAUACCAGUACCACUGCAGAAGCUCCACGGCAAGGUGGCCAUAGUCACCGGCGCCGCAAGCGGUAUCGGAGCAGUCACGGCGCGUCACUUUGCAGACCACGGCGCUCUGGCCGUCGUGAUCGCCGACGUCCAAGACUCCAAGGGCCGACAAGUGGCUGCAUCCAUCGGCUCCCACCGCUGCACCUACGUCCACUGCGACGUCACCAACGAGGAUCAGGUCAAGUCCCUGGUCGAGUUCACGGUCAAGCACUAUGGCAGCCUCGACGUCAUGUACAGCAACGCUGGGAUAACCAGCACGUCGGCGCAGACGGUGCUGGAGCUUGACCUGUCUGGGUACGACAGAGUGAUGGCGGUGAACGCGCGCGGAAUGGCGGCUUGUGUGAAGCACGCGGCGGGUGCUAUGGUGGAGAAGGGGGUGAAGGGGAGCAUAGUGUGCACGGCGAGCUUCGUGGCGGACUGCGGGACGGAGAGCUUGACGGACUACACGAUGUCCAAGCACGCCGUGUUGGGGCUGGUGAGGUCGGCGAGCGUGCAGCUAGCGCCGCGUGGUGUGCGCGUGAACUGUGUGUCGCCGGGUAUGGUGGCGACGCCGCUGAUGUGCGACAUAUUGAAGAUUAGUGCGGAAGAGCUGCGGGAGACGAUGGCGGCGGUUUAUUUGGGAAGGGAUGAACCGCUGACGGAGAAGCACGUGGCGGAUGCGGUGGUGUUCCUGGCUUGUGAGGACUCGGCGUUCGUCACCGGCCAUAAUUUGGUGGUUGAUGGUGGACUCGGCACCAAGUCCAUAGCUGUAUUGAAACAAUGAUGAUACGUACUACAGGACUCUGAUUUGUCGCAACAGUAUCGAAGUACUUAUGUUAUGAGCUGAUCUGAGCUCAAUAAGUCAAAUAGUGAAUAAACAUGGAAGAAGAACAAUUUGGUGUUACAUAUUCGGAGUAUCGGAUCAGAAAAUGAGAAAUGGCAGUGAUGGAUUAGUGUUUGUAGGAGUGAAUGAACAAAAAGACGAAGAAUUAGAGCUACCUGAUGCAGAUGACUAUGGUGGACUGAGUGGAAACCUGGGGCUUCAAGUUUGAGCUUUCAUCAGCGAAGAUUUGAGGAAUAGCAACGUCCAAUUUUUUGAAAUUUCAUAUGUUUCCAUGGUAGCAGGCGUGAGCUGUUUUCAUUAUUUGGGUUCCCGACCUAGAACUGUUGACACGGGUUUCAUCUCGCUCGAUAAAAUUGAAACUUUUGAAAGUUGGGUUGCCCCGGGUCGAGUCAUAGAUUCAAGUUUCAGGGAGAAAAAAAAAAGACCAAACGACGUCAUCGAUGUGGAAUGG